GAGAGUGGCGGACGGGUGAGUAAAGUAUGGGGAUCUGCCGAAUGGAGGGGGACAACUGCUGGAAACGGCAGCUAAUACCGCAUAAAGUUGAGAGACCAAAGCGUGGGACUUUUUAGCCACGCGCCAUUUGAUGAACCCAUAUGGGAUUAGCUUGUUGGUAGGGUAAUGGCUUACCAAGGCGACGAUCUCUAGCUGGUCUGAGAGGAUGACCAGCCACACUGGAACUGAGACACGGUCCAGACUCCUAUGGGAGGCAGCAGUGGGGGAUAUUGCACAAUGGGGGAAACCCUGAUGCAGCCAUGCCGCGUGUAUGAAGAAGGCUUUCGGGUUGUAAAGUACUUUCGGUAAUGAGGAAGGUGUAUUAUCUAACAGGUAAUGCAAUUGACGUUAGUUACAGAAGAAGCACCGGCUAACUCCGUGCCAGCAGCCGCGGUAAUACGGAGGGUGCGAGCGUUAAUCGGAAUAACUGGGCGUAAAGGGCAUGCAGGCGGGUCAUUAAGUUAGGUGUGAAAUCCCCGGGCUCAACCUGGGAACUGCACUUAAAACUGGUGGUCUGGAGUAUUGUAGAGGAAGGUAGAAUUCCACGUGUAGCGGUGAAAUGCGUAGAGAUGUGGAGGAAUACCGGUGGCGAAGGCGGCCUUCUGGACAAAUACUGACGCUGAGAUGCGAAAGCGUGGGGAGCAAACAGGAUUAGAUACCCUGGUAGUCCACGCUGUAAACGAUGUCGAUUUGGAGUUUGGUGGCAUGACUG
rnacentral:rRNA from 1 species